ensembl:sense_intronic
UCUUCUUCUUUUUAGUUGUCUUUUAUUUUUACAAAGCUGGAGACCAAAGCUGGGCUCUUUUCCAAGUCAGGCAAGUACUCUGCCUACGAGAUGCCCCUAUCUACUCUGACAUAGUUUUAAAUUAAUACAUUUUUAUUAAAGUUUUUACAAAGAACUGGCUUUGACUUCUGACUAGUGCUUUGUUAUUUUUAUUAAUUUUUCUUUGACAAUUUUAUACAUGUGUAUAACACCUUCUGGUAACUGUUGUCCCCCUUUCUUGUCUCCAUCCUAACCCCUCCAACUCUCCUCUUCCUCCUUACUGAACCCCUUUCUACAUACAUGCCUUUUUUUUGUGUGAGGGUGCUGAAUUUAGCCCCUGUAUGACCGUGGAUGUGGAGCUGUCCACUUGAGCCUGAUGGACUUAGGAGUGGGUACACAACUGUAAAAACUGACUGCCCUCCCACAGUGAUCGUGGGCAAGACCCCAGAAGCCCUUCUCCCAUCCCUGACUGCUGGAGGGCCAGUCUUAGCUGUGCACCAUGAAGGGUCCACAGCUGCUUGAAUUCAUGACUGCAGUCCCUGUGUCAUGCCCAGGUCACAGUUCCAGCUCUUCUCCCUGUCACUCUGACAAUGCUUUACAUUCUUUCUACCCUCUCUUCCUCAAUGUCCCCAAACCUUAGAGGAGUGUGGUGUAAAUGUCCUGUUUAGGGCUAAGCACUCAGCCUUGACUUAAUAUCAGCACCCCAAACAGUCAUGAGUCUCUACACACACUGCUGUUCACUGCAGAAGCUGCUCUGGCCAAGGCUGACAGUGGCAUUUAUCUAUAGGUAUAAACAUGGAUAUUCAGAAGCAGGUUCUUCUUAUGCACAUUAAGCAAAACAAUAUCAGGAAGUUACCCCCUUAGGGCCUAUGGGCCACUCUAGCCAUUGAAUUUUGACCAGAUUUGCACGACAGUGCAUUCUCUCUGUACUGUGGGCCUCAAACCCAGUCAGCAAUCUGUUAUCCCCACAACAGCCAUGCAGCUAUUCCCAUAUGCCCGCCAUGUUGGCGUUGUGCCUUGAUGCCUCCACAGUUGUACACACUGUCAGUGGCUGUCCUUCUCCAGCAGCUUCCAUGCACCUUUCCAGCACGAUGUAUGCUCACCAGUGGUCCCAGCUUGAUUCUGUAAUGUGACCGUUUGUCUCGUAAAUGACCUGACUUUGGCCAGAUUAUUUGUCCUUACUAGUUUAUUGUCAAAUUGACACAAGUCAGAAUUAUUGGGGAAGAGGAACUCUCAAUUAACAAAAUGCUUCCAUAAUAUUUGGCUAUAGAGUCUGUAGUGCAUUUUCUUAAUUAGUGAUUGAUGUGGGAGGGCCCACUGUGAGUGGUGCCACUCCUGGGAUGUAUAAGAAAGCAGAUUGAGCAAACCAGUAAGCAUCAAUCCUUCCCUGGUCUUUGCCUCUGUGUUCCUGCCCUGAGUUCCUGCUCUGGCAUCCCUCAGUGACAGAUGUACAGCUGUAAGGAGAAACAAACCCUUUCCCCACCGUGUAACUUUAAUCACAGUGGUUUUUUUAUCAUGACAGCAAAAACAAAACAAAACAAAAAAACAACCCAGUUAGGAAGGACAGCUGUCUGUUGACUGAAAUGCAGUUGAACUUAACCAUAUUUUUCCUGCUAGGAUAUCUUAUAUGGUAUUCUUACAAGUCAUAAAAAUGCCCACAAAAAAGCCUUAUUUUAGUCUUACAUUUGAUGUUCUACAUAGUUACUCUGUGGGUUUGGAUGACUGUUUCAUCUUCAGGAACCAUGUUUUAUUCAUAGAUGAAGCCAUUCCUGGGUAAGCAUUUGUUUAUCUAUUGCAAUCUAAAAUGUAUAUUAUUUAAAUGUAAAAAAUUUUAUAGCUAGUUAUUUCUUUUGUAUUGAGUUAGUUUUUAUUAGAUAUCUUUUUCCUUCAGUAGCUUAGUUUACCAAUAAGUACCUAUGCUGGUUUUUCCAUUAAAAUGACAUAUAGCAUGGAAGUUUUCUGGCAGGUGUUUUCAUUAGCAAACCGGAAACAUUUUUAGUAAAAACCAAAAAGUAAUGUUUGAACAUAUAAAACAUCAAAUGUUUAACAUAAACUUUAUAAAUAGCAAAAUACUUAAUAGAAGAAAUUACUCAGUGCCACUAAAAAUGAUUAAAAACAUUGACUAUAUGAGAGAAGCAUUCUUUGAGCUAAUAAAGUGAAUUUAUUUUUCUAUGGAAAACAUACUAAUUUUUUAAAGUACAU